UACGUAGGGGCGAGCGUUGUCCGGAUUCAUUGGGCGUAAAGGGCAAGUAGGCGGCUUGGCAAGUCGGAUGUGAAACUCUGGCUUAACCCAGAGACGCCAUCCGAUACUGCUAUGGCUAGAGUCCGGUAGGGGACCACGGAAUACCUGGUGUAGCGGUGAAAUGCGCAGAUAUCAGGUGGAACACCGGUGGCGAAGGCGGUGGUCUGGGACGGUACUGAG
rnacentral:rRNA from 1 species